AAUAUUGGACAAUUGGCGAAAGCCUGAUCCAGCCAUUCCGCGUGUGUGAAGAAGGUCUUUGUAUUGUAAAUCACUUUAAGCCGCGAGGAAGGGCAGUACGCUAAUCCUGUGCCGGUGUGACGUUACCGACAGAGUAAGCACCGGCUAACUUCGUGCCAGCAGCCGCGGUAAUCCGAAGGGUGCAAGCGUUAAUCGGAAUUACUUGGCGUAAAGCGCGCGUAGGUGGUUUGUUAAGUUGGAAGUGAAAGCCCCGGGCUCAACCUGGGAACUGCUUUCAUAACUGCUGAGCUAGAGUACGGCAGAGGGUGGUGGAAUUUCCUGUGUAGCGGUGAAAUGCGUAGAUAUAGGAAGGAACACCAGUGGCGAAGGCGACUACCUGGACUGAUACUGACACUGAGGUGCGAAAGCGUGGGGAGCGA
rnacentral:rRNA from 1 species